rnacentral:rRNA from 1 species
AUUGAACGCUGGCGGCAUGCUUUACACAUGCAAGUCGAACGGUAACAGGCCGCAAGGUGCUGACGAGUGGCCAACGGGCGAGUAAUGCAUCGGAACGUGCCCAGUCGCGGGGGAUAGCGCAGCGAAAGCGGCGCUAAUACCGCAUACGAUCUAUGGAUGAACGCGGGGGACCGUAAGGCCGCGCGCGCUUCGGCCGGCCGAUGUCAGAUUAGGUAGUUGGUGGGGUAAAGGCGCACCAAGCCACCGAUCCGUAGCUGGUCUGAGGGUACGACCAGCCACACUGGGACUGGGACACGGACCAGACUCCUACGGGAGGCAGCAGUGGGGAAUUUUGGACAUUGGGCGCAAGCCUGAUCCAGCAAUGCCGCGUGCAGGAAGAAGGCCUUCGGGUUGUAAACUGCUUUUGUACGGAACGAAACGGUCCUGGUUAAUACCUGGGGCUAAUGACGGUACCGUAAGAAUAAGCACCGGCUAACUACGUGCCAGCAGCCGCAGUAAUAC